GGGAUUGCCUCAGUAACGGCGAGUGAAGCGGCAACAGCUCAAAUUUGAAAUCUGGCUCCUUCGGGGUCCGAGUUGUAAUUUGUAGAGAGUGUUUCGGGGGAGACCGCGGUCUAAGUCCAUUGGAACAUGGUGUCAGAGAGGGUGAGAAUCCCGUAUGUGACCGCGGAUCGAACCCAUGUGAAGCCUCUUCGACGAGUCGAGUUGUUUGGGAAUGCAGCUCAAAAUGGGUGGUAAAUUUCAUCUAAAGCUAAAUACUGGCUGGAGACCGAUAGCGCACAAGUAGAGUGAUCGAAAGAUGAAAAGCACUUUGGAAAGAGAGUUAAACAGUACGUGAAAUUGUUGAAAGGGAAGCGCUUGCAACCAGACCUGCCCGUAGGCGAUCAGCCGCUGUUUUCAGCGGUGCACUCGCUCUGCGAUCAGGCCAGCAUCGGUUUCGGCGGUCGGAUAAAGGCCUUGGGAAUGUAGCUUCCUUUCGGGGGAGUCUUAUAGUCCUCGGUGCAAUGCGGCCAGCCGGGACCGAGGACCGCGCUUCGGCUAGGAUGCUGGCGUAAUGGUUGUCAGCGACCCGUCUUGAAACACGGACCAAGGAGUCUAACAUCUAUGCGAGUGUUUGGGUGUUAAACCCAUGCGCGGAAUGAAAGUGAACGGAGGUGAGAACCCUUUAGGGCGCAUCAUCGACCGAUCCAGAUGUCUUCGGAUGGAUUUGAGUAUGAGCAUAGCUGUUGGGACCCGGUAAAUACCCCCCUUCCCCCUUUUGUUUAAAAAGAUCUUUUAGCUAACUUACUCGACAGAAAGAUGGUGAACUAUGCCUGAAUAGGGUGAAGCCAGAGGAAACUCUGGUGGAGGCUCGCAGCGGUUCUGACGUGCAAAUCGAUCGUCAAAUUUGGGUAUAGGUUAGUAUAUUCACUUCUAGAGAUACCCAGACCCAAUGCUAACUCUAAAUUUCUAGGGGCGAAAGACCAAUCG
rnacentral:rRNA from 1 species